rnacentral:rRNA from 1 species
UGGGGAAUAUUGGACAAUGGGCGCAAGCCUGAUCCAGCCAUGCCGCGUGUGUGAAGAAGGCCUUUUGGUUGUAAAGCACUUUAAGCGAGGAGGAGGCUACUGAGAUUAAUACUCUUGGAUAGUGGACGUUACUCGCAGAAUAAGCACCGGCUAACUCUGUGCCAGCAGCCGCGGUAAUACAGAGGGUGCGAGCGUUAAUCGGAUUUACUGGGCGUAAAGCGUGCGUAGGCGGCUUCUUAAGUCGGAUGUGAAAUCCCUGAGCUUAACUUAGGAAUUGCAUUCGAUGCUGGGAAGCUAGAGUAUGGGAGAGGAUGGUAGAAUUCCAGGUGUAGCGGUGAAAUGCGUAGAGAUCUGGAGGAAUACCGAUGGCGAAGGCAGCCAUCUGGCCUAAUACUGACGCUGGGGUACGAAAGCAUGGGGAGCAAACAGG